UACGUAGGGUGCGAGCGUUGUCCGGAAUUAUUGGGCGUAAAGAGCUCGUAGGCGGUCUGUCGCGUCGAUCGUGAAAACUUGGGGCUCAACCCCAAGCUUGCGGGCGAUACGGGCAGACUUGAGUACUGCAGGGGAGACUGGAAUUCCUGGUGUAGCGGUGAAAUGCGCAGAUAUCAGGAGGAACACCGGUGGCGAAGGCGGGUCUCUGGGCAGUAACUGACACUGAGGAGCGAAAAGCGUGGGUAGCAAACAGG
rnacentral:rRNA from 1 species